rnacentral:tRNA from 1 species
AAGACUUUAAGUUAAAUUAAACUAAUAAUCUUCAAAAUUAUAUAUAAAGAAAUUAUUCUUUAAGUCUUA